UACGUAGGGUGCAAGCGUUAUCCGGAAUUAUUGGGCGUAAAGAGCUCGUAGGCGGUCUGUCGCGUCUGCUGUGAAAACUGGGGGCUCAACCCCCAGCCUGCAGUGGGUACGGGCAGACUAGAGUGCGGUAGGGGAGAUUGGAAUUUACGGUGUAGCAGUGAAAUGCGUAGAUAUCGUAAGGAAGACCAGUGGCGAAGGCGAAUCUCUGGACAGUUACUGACACUGAGGCACGAAGGCCAGGGGAGCAAACGGG
rnacentral:rRNA from 1 species